GUGUGUGAUGGUGUGUGAUGGUGUGUGAUGGUGUAUGAUGGGUGUAUGAUGGUGUGUGAUGGUGUAUGAUGGGUGUAUGAUGGUGUAUGAUGGUGUAUGAUGGUGUAUGUCAUGUCCCACCACUGCGAUUCCUGUUGUGUCAGAAGGAGCCUUGCUCCACGGGUCCAUCCCUGCGCCUGCGGAGCAGCACCAGCCCUGGCACAUGGAUAACCCAGCACCGGGCACCCAGCACCCUGGUG